rnacentral:lncRNA from 1 species
UUCGUGAGAGACACACACACAGAGAGAGAGAGAGAGAGGCAGAGACACAGGCAGAGGGAGAAGCAGAGAGAGAGAGAGAGAGAGAGAGAGGCAGAGACACAGGCAGAGGGAGAAGCAGGCUCCACACAGGGAGCCCUACAUAAGGCUAGAUCCCCGGUCUCCAAGAUCAGGCCCUGGACUGAAGGCGGCGCUAAACCACUGAGCCACUGGGGCUGCCCCUAGGGGAGGUCUUUUUUAAAAACUUCUAUGUGGAAAGGAAUUAGGAUAGUCAAUGAAUGCGACAGUUAUCACUUAUUAUUGUUCCUCUGUGGCCCUUCAUAAAUCCUUGUGCAUAAAUAGGUAAGCCUAUCUUGCUGAUGACCUUAGUUUAGCUCUCUUCUUACAAAUAAAAAAGAAUAGUUCCCUCUUUUCUCCAACACCAGGCAAACUGUGAUGCUCAGUGUCCUCACUGGUGGUUGAUUUAUUUCCAUGAUCCAGAUUUCUUAGCCACCUAGCUAAGUAUCUCAAGAGCCAUUUGGAAAGAUUUGAAGCUUAAAACAUGUAAAUAGAGAAAUGACAGUUUAAAAGGUCCCUAAGUAUUAUAUAGAUUCAAUGUAAUCCCAAUCAAAAUGCUAGUGCUGUGUAUGUGUACAGUAUAGCUUGACAAACUGACUUGAAAACUCACAUGGAACUGUAAAGAAAAGCCAAGAUACUCUUCAAUAAGGAAAACAAGAUAGGGAGGUUCUUUCCCUGCAACAGGGCUUUUAAAGCUAUGGUAGUUAACCCAGUGUGGUAUUGGCACGAGGGCAGACAAAUAAACUAAUGAGACAGAACAGACCCCCUAGAAUCAGAUCUGUACAUAGAUGAUCCAUAACACAGUUAUUUUUGAAGAUCAGCGAGAAAAGGGUAGACUUUUCUAUAAGAUAGUGUUUCAUUAGACAAAAAAAAAAAAAAAAAACAAAUGAAAUUAGAGUCCUACCUUAGACCAUUUACAAAAAUUAAAUCAGGGUUAAUGUGAAAAGCAAACCUAUAUAACAUUUAGAAGACAAUGUAGGAAAAUAUUUUAUACCUUAUAGUAGGAAAAGGUUACUUAAAUAUAACACCAAAAAAACCCCAUAAACUCAAAGGAAAAGAUUGUCUACAUUAGAUAUUUGCAAGCAUGUAGCCAACAAAACAUGAGUAUGCAGAAUAUAUAACGAAAUCCUAAAAUUCCUCCGCAAUACUGUACUCCAGGCCUCUCUGGCUUCCUUGCUUUUUGUUACACACAAAAAGCUGGCACAUGCUCUGGCCUCAGAGUCCUUACAUUGGCUGUUUUCUUUGUGUGGAAUGACAUUCUCCCAGAUAUUUUCCUGGCUAAUGCCUCACCUCUUUUAAGUCUUUACUCAAAUGUCUGUAUCAUGUAUAUGAUAUAUAUCUGUAUACUCUAUCUAAAAUUGUACCCCCAUACACAUAAUUGUGGCAGUCCCUAUUUUUCCUUUUAACCCUUGUCACUAUUUAUUUAUAACAAAUAUAUUAUAUAUAAUAUUUAUUAUAUUAUUUAAAAUAUUUAUUUAUUUAUUUAUUUAUUUAUUUAUUUAUUUAUUUUAGUUAUUUGACGGAGAGAGAGUGCACAUGUGCGCACACGAGCAGGGAGAGUGACAGGCAGACGGAGAGGAAGAAGCAGGCUUCCCACUGAGCAGUGAGCCUGACAUGGGGCCUGAUCACAAGAUCCUGGGAUCACAAUCUGACCUGAAGGUAGAUGCCUAACCAACUGAGCCGCCACCCAGGCGUCCCUCCUUAUCACCUUUUAAUGUACUGUUUUGUUCAGUGAUGUAUCCCAAACAUGUAGAAGAGUGGCACUUGUAGAUGAUUAAUAAAAUGUGAUAAAUGAAUGAAUGAAGACAAAUUAUCCAAAAGGGAAGAGUAGACAAGAGAAAUGAACAAGAAUUUCAUGGAGGAGGUAGUACAAAUGGCCUCAAAAUAUAUAAAUACGAUUGAUCUAUUCAUUAAUUAGAAAAACAAAAAGUCGUGAUGAAUAACUAUAAUUCACCCACCAGACUGGCAAAAAUUAGCCACAAGUACCAGAAAUUGGGAGAGUAAGCAUCAACGAGAAUUAUUCCCGUGCAAGAGGUGUGACUUCCUCUAGAAAGCCAUUAGGAGAGAGUUUGGCACAACUUAGUAAAGUUGACUAUGAGCCCACCCUAGAUCCAGUAAUUCUAUUUCUAGGCACAUAUCCCAGGGAUAGUCUUAUAUAUGUGCACCUGGAGACAUACAUAAUUAUGCAAAGAAGUUCAAAAUAGCCUUGUGUGUAAUAAUAUGGACUAGAAACAACCCAAAUACUUAUCAACAGUUGGAUAGACAAAUAAAAUGUAGGAGAUUGGCACAAGGGAAUAUUAUACAACAGUGAAAAUGAAAGUGUGAAAAUAUCAUACUUAUCAACAUGAAUCAAUCUCAAAGAUGAAUCAAUGCUCAAAGGUGAGCAAAAGAAGGAAGUCACUGAAGAAUAGAGAUAAUGAGAUCCAUUUACAUAAUGGUGAAAAUGGGUGAAACAAAUGAUGUAUUAGUUAGGAUAUAUACCUAGAUGUCAAAACUAUAAAGGAAAGCAAGUGUGAGGCAUCUACAAAACUCAGUUGGCUGAGCCUCUGACUCUUAGUUCCAGCUCAAGUUGUGAUCUCAUGGAUUGGGGGAUAGAGCCUGUUCCAGCAGGGUCAAGCCUGCUGCAUCAGGUUCUGCCCUCAGCAGGGAGUCUGCUUGAAGAUUCUCUCCCUCCGCUUCUGCUGCCUGCUUGCAUGCAUACAUGGGGCGCUCUCUCUUUCUCUCUCUCUCUCUCUCAAAUAAAUAAAUAAAUCUAAAAAAGAAAGAAAAGCAAGUGAAUGACUAACUCAAAAUUCAGAUAGUGGUUGCCUCUGGGGGAGAGAAAGAGGAAUGCAAAUGGUGGGAGCUUUCAGUGGGGGCUUGUGAAGUAUUCUUGGUCUGGGUGAUUUUAUUAUUCUUUAAUCUAUACAUAUAUAUGCUC